rnacentral:rRNA from 1 species
UACAGAGGUCCCAAGCGUUGUUCGGAUUCACUGGGCGUAAAGGGUGCGUAGGCGGUCGGGUAAGUCUGAUGUGAAAUCUCACAGCUUAACUGUGAAACUGCAUUGGAUACUAUCCGGCUCGAGGAAUGGAGGGGAGACUGGAAUACUUGGUGUAGCGGUGAAAUGCGUAGAUAUCAUUUGGAACGCCAAUGGUGAAAACAGGUAGCUGGGGCUGUGCUGACACUGAGACACGAAAGCCAGGGGAGCAAACGGG